CCUUAUACACACCGCCCGUCACACCAUGGGAGUGGGUUGUACCAGAAGUAGCUAGUCUAACCUUCGGGAGGACGGUUACCACGGUGUGAUUCAUGACUGGGGUGAAGUCGUAAACAAGGUACC
rnacentral:rRNA from 1 species